AUGACUUACUGGAAACCAAAGGGGAAUGAUCUGUGCUUCCCAGCUCUCGCAAGCAAGGGUUCAAUCAGUGCGGGCGCGGAGCUUUAUCCAAAAGUGUCACAGUCGCGUGACAAAUGAAAAAAGGGGGGAGCGCGGCCGGGCGGGCCGGCGAGAGCGGGGGGAUGUGUGAGAAAUAAGAAGGGAGGAGGGAGAGACGGAGAGAGAAAACUAAAGGGACGCGGACGUCUGCCAGAAGAGAAGAGUUGUGUGGACCUUGGUCGUGUGAUCUAUUCAUGAGAUAAGUCGCCGUGGAACAGGCACUAGUGCGUCCCAGCAUGAGACGACGGGAGCUGGUGUGUUCCAGACAAUUACCGCCGACGGGGGGGACAGCACAGGCCCCAAAUGGAGAGGGGGAAACAAACAGUGGCGCUGGAGCAUCCGAAAAACAGCUCGGCUACGAGGUGCCGCUGUUCAUUGCCCCCGACGCAGUUGAAGUUUUCACCGUCGAGGUUUCGGGGCGGUGAGCGGGGGCUCGUCCGAAAGGCAGCGGCGGCGGCGGCGGCGGCAGCCUCCUCCUUCCUUCCCCUUUAGCCCGGCCGGUAGGAGGGUCUUGAGCGGGCCGUGUGCGCGAGAGGGAUCCAGACGCAGACCAGCGG